rnacentral:rRNA from 1 species
UACGGGGGGGGCAAGCGGUUGUUCGGAAUUACUGGGCGUAAAGGGCUCGUAGGUGGCCAACUAAGUCAGACGUGAAAUCCCUCGGCUUAACCGGGGAACUGCGUCUGAUACUGGAUGGCUUGAGUUUGGGAGAGGGACGCGGAAUUCCAGGUGUAGCGGUGAAAUGCGUAGAUAUCUGGAGGAACACCGGUGGCGAAGGCGGCGUCCUGGACCAACACGUGACACUGAUGAGCGAAAGCCAGGGGAGCAAACGGG